rnacentral:rRNA from 1 species
GAUGAACGCUGGCGGCGUGCCUAAUACAUGCGAGUCGAGCGAACAGACGAGGAGCUUGCUCCUCUGACGUUAGCGGCGGACGGGUGAGUAACACGUGGAUAACCUACCUAUAAGACUGGGAUAACUUCGGGAAACCGGAGCUAAUACCGGAUAAUAUAUUGAACCGCAUGGUUCAAUAGUGAAAGACGGUUUUGCUGUCACUUAUAGAUGGAUCCGCGCCGCAUUAGCUAGUUGGUAAGGUAACGGCUUACCAAGGCAACGAUGCGUAGCCGACCUGAGAGGGUGAUCGGCCACACUGGAACUGAGACACGUUCCAGACUCCUACGGGAGGCAGCAGUAGGGAAUCUUCCGCAAUGGGCGAAAGCCUGACGGAGCAACGCCGCGUGAGUGAUGAAGGUCUUCGGAUCGUAAAACUCUGUUAUUAGGGAAGAACAAAUGUGUAAGUAACUAUGCACGUCUUGACGGUACCUAAUCAGAAAGCCACGGCUAACUACGUG